UACGAACUGUGCAAACGUUAUUCGGCAUCACUGGGCUUACAGGGUGCGUAGGCGGCUUGUCAAGUAGGGUGUGAAAGCCCCCGGCUCAACCGGGGAAUUGCGCCCUAAACUGGCGAGCUGGAGUGAGAUAGGGGUGUGCGGAACUUCCGGUGGAGCGGUGAAAUGUGUUGAUAUCGGAAGGAACGCCGGUGGCGAAAGCGGCACACUGGAUCUCAACUGACGCUGAGGCACGAAAGCCAGGGGAGCAAACGGG
rnacentral:rRNA from 1 species